GACGAACGCUGGCGGCGUGCUUAACACAUGCAAGUCGAACGGAAAGGCCCUGUUUUUGUGGGUUGCUCGAGUGGCGAACGGGUGAGUAACAAGUGAGUAACCUGCCCUUGACUUUGGGAUAACUUCAGGAAACUGGGGCUAAUACCGGAUAGGAGCUCCUGCUGCAUGGUGGGGGUUGGAAAGUUUCGGCGGGUGGGGAUAGACUCGCGGGUUAUCAGCUUGGUGGUGGGGUAGUGGGUUACCAAGGCGUUGACGGGUAGACGGCCUGAGAGGGUGACCGGCGACAUUGGGAGAGUGAGACAGCGCAGACUCUCACGGGAGGCAGCAGUGUGGAAUAUUGCAGAAUGGGCGGAAGCCUGAUGCAGCAAAGCCGCGUGCGGGAUAACGGCCUUCGGGUUGUAAACCGCUUUCGCCUGUGAGGAGGCGUGAAUGACGGUAAUGGGUAAAGAAGCGCCGGCUAACUACGUG
rnacentral:rRNA from 1 species